AGGGGGCAACCCCUCGAGUAGAGUGGCGAACGGGUGAGUAACGCGUGAAGAACCUGCCUUCGAGCGGGGGAUAACACUCCCAACGGGGUGCUAAUACCGCAUGAGACCACGGGUCCGCAUGAACCCGAGGUCAAAGGUGGCCUCUGCUUGCAAGCUACCGCUCGAAGAUGGCUUCGCGUCCCAUUAGCUAGUUGGCGGUGUAACGGACCACCAAGGCGACGAUGGGUAGCUGGUCUGAGAGGAUGGUCAGCCACACUGGGACUGAGAUACGGCCCAGACUCCUACGGGAGGCAGCAGUCGAGAGGCUUUGGCAAUGGGGGAAACCCUGACCAAGCGACGCCGCGUGGAGGAUGAAGGCCCUUGGGUUGUAAACUCCUUUUGUUGGGGAAGAAGUGCGAUCAGGUGAAUAAUCUGGUCGUUUGACGGUACCCGACGAAUAAGCUCCGGCUAACUCCGUGCCAGCAGCCGCGGUAACACGGGGGGAGCAAGCGUUG
rnacentral:rRNA from 1 species